rnacentral:rRNA from 1 species
UACGUAGGGGGCGAGCGUUGUCCGAAUUCACUGGGCGUAAAGCGCGCGUAGGCGGGUUAUUAAGUUGGUGGUGAAAUCCCGAGGCUCAACCUCGGAACUGCCGUCAAAACUGAUAGCCUUGAGGUUUGGAGAGGGAACUGGAAUUCCAGGUGUAGCGGUGAAAUGCGUAGAUAUCUGGAGGAACACCCAUGGCGAAGGCAGGUUCCUGGCCAUAUCCUGACGCUGAGGUGCGAAAGCUAGGGUAGCGAAC